rnacentral:rRNA from 1 species
GAUGAACGCUGGCGGCGUGCCUAAUACAUGCAAGUCGAGCGAACAGAUGAGGAGCUUGCUCCUCUGACGUUAGCGGCGGACGGGUGAGUAACACGUGGAUAACCUACCUAUAAGACUGGGAUAACUUCGGGAAACCGGAGCUAAUACCGGAUAAUAUAUUGAACCGCAUGGUUCAAUAGUGAAAGACGGUUUUGCUGUCACUUAUAGAUGGAUCCGCGCCGCAUUAGCUAGUUGGUAAGGUAACGGCUUACCAAGGCAACGAUGCGUAGCCGACCUGAGAGGGUGAUCGGCCACACUGGAACUGAGACACGGUCCAGACUCCUACGGGAGGCAGCAGUAGGGAAUCUUCCGCAACGGGCGAAAGCCUGACGGAGCAACGCCGCGUGAGUGAUGAAGGUCUUCGGAUCGUAAAACUCUGUUAUUAGGGAAGAACAAAUGUGUAAGUAACUAUGCACGUCUUGACGGUACCUAAUCAGAAAGCCGCGGCUAACUACGUG